AUGAGGGCCCAGCUCGCUCUAGCCCUUCUACUCUUCCUCGUUGUUGCCUCCACCAGCCCCCUAGCAUUGGCCCAUGGCGAUCUUGACUAUGGCGGUGGAGUGAAGAAAUCUGAAGCUACCGGCGGAUACACCGCCGGUAUUGAGAAGAAACCCGAAGCUGUCUCGGCCAGUGUUGAGAAGAAACCCGAAGCAAUCUCCAGUGAUGUGGAGAACAAACCAGAUGCCGUCUCCGGAACAGACGUCUCCUCUAGCGCAAAGACGAAACCCGAAGUCGUCGCUGGCUAUGACAGUGCUAAGAAGAAACCUGAUGUCAGCCCCAACAAUGUUGAUGCAGAGAAGAAACCAGUAAGUGCCUCUGGCAAGGAGAAGAAACCCGAAGUCGUCGCUGGCUAUGACAGUGCUAAGAAGAAACCUGAUGUCAGCCCCAACAAUGUUGAUGCAGAGAAGAAACCAGUAAGUGCCUCUGGCAAGGAGAAGAAACCCGAAGGUGGCACCAAGGCUGCUAAGGAGAAGAAAUCUGAAGUUGCCUCCGAGAAGAAAUCCAAAAGAAAGAGUGAGCCCUCCCAGCCUUCCACCAUCGAGAAGAAACCCAAAAGUAAAAAUGAGAAGAAGUCCAAAGGAAAGAAUGACGCCUCUGGAUACACUGGUGCGCAGAAGAAACCAAAAGAAAAAGUGGAUACACCCAAAAAGGAGAAGCCAAAGGAGGAGGUCAUGGCUAUGAAACCUAAAAAAUACACCAAGCCAAAGGAGGAGGCGAAGAAGGAGGAGACGAAGAAGGAAGAGCCGAAGAAGGAGGUGAUCGCGGCGACCGUCACAUCCGAUAUUUACACUGCACCGAAGAAUGCUCAGCCGGAGACGCCGGCAGCUAGCACAACUGACACUUAUGCUGCGCCAAAGACUGCUCAGCCGGAGAUGGCGGCGGCUAGCACAACCGGUGGUUACCCCUAA
rnacentral:rRNA from 1 species